rnacentral:lncRNA from 1 species
CAUGUCACUCAAACCAGCUGUAUUAAGGAAGGUGCAAGCUUUUGGGAUUUCUGUUUGGAUUUAGUUUAGGUUCAAAAGAGCACGCACAGAUCCUGAGUGUUGUCAAGCACCCGUGACUGGGAAACGGAGGCGUCCGAUCCGUAUUGGAGUCAAUUCGCCACUUAAUUGAAAAACCCUUUGAAAAGAUUCAGCACGUUGCCAUGGAGAACAUCCCACUGAAGGAAUGUAUAGAAGUAGCAGGGUUAACUGAGUGCCUUCCAUCUUCCCUCCAAGGGAUCUGCAAUGAGAUGGGAGAAGGCAACAGGCUGUGUGGGAACCACUGAAGCUGGGAUGGCAGGGAAAGAACAUCUUAGGCUAACUCUUCAAGCCUUGCUGUCACAUUUGCUUUUGAGUCUAUGGUGUCAGCUGCCUACCAGUUGCUUUCAUCUCUAGAAAUCUGUGACUUGCAGUAUGACAAGAACAAAAGGUGACAAUACAAAGGACAAAGGGCAAGGAAUACAGACGGAGAAGCCGCUUAGAGUCUAGGAUGGCAGAGGUUCUCUUGAUCAUUUCAUUUUUGAGCGCUUGUAGAGCUUUGGUGUACCAGAGGUGCUUGAACAGCUUACCACACCACAGAUGAAUGGCCUUUGGAUUUCUCCUAAGAAAAUGUGGCUACCUGAAAUUCAACUCCAUUUUCUGGUCUUCAAUAUUUCUUUUGUGUUCAGUUUGCCAGCUGAGGAGAAGUGGCUAAGCAUAGCCUGUUACUGAUGCUAAAGCCCAAGUUCUGAACCUAACAACUCCAGCAACAUGAUCCUGUUUCAAGAGACAAAAAAGUGACUAAUGAAAGAAAACAAUUGAUGUGCUAUGUAGAGUUUAAAAGAAGGUAAAGAGAAUAAAUUAAAAGCAACAACUCUC